rnacentral:tRNA from 1 species
GGGGAUUUAGCUCAGUGGUAGAGCACUUGCCUAGCAGGCACAAGGCCCUGGGUUCGGUCCCCAGCUCCA